GUUCAGGAGUCAGUCCCAGUCAGGACACAGCAUGGACAUGAGGGUCCCCGCUCAGCUCCUGGGGCUCCUGCUGCUCUGGCUCUCAGGUGCCAAAUGUGCCAUCCAGAUGACCCAGUCUCCAUCCUCCCUGCCUGCAUCUACAGGAGACAGAGUCACCAUCACUUGCCAGGCGAGUCAGGGCAUUGGCAGUUAUUUAAAUUGGUAUCAGCAGAAACCAGGGAAAUCUCCUAAGCUCCUGAUCUAUUAUGCAUCCUAUCUGCAAAGUGGGAUUCCCUCUCGGUUUAGUGGCAGUGGAUCUGGGACAGAUUUCACUCUCACCAUCGACUGCCUGCAGCCUGAAGAUUUUGCAACUUAUUACUGUGAACAGAGUUACGGUACCCCUCCCACAGUGUUACAAGUCAUAACAUAAACCCCCA